GAUCUUAGAGACACUUGUUUUUUCCAGUAGGUUCAGUAGAAAAUCAAUUGUAGCAUUUACUAGUUGAUAGUCUGUCAAUUAAUGGCAAGAGUUAGGGAUAUAAUUGAAGAUUUUAAAGAUGAAGUUAGGCACACUACUGUUUUAUUGGGAUACAAUGAGCUGAAUGAUAGCAAUGCCAGGUACCGAGACCAACCGACGGCAUCUUAGCUCCGGUCUUCAAUUCGAAGAAAACUUGGGCGUGUGCUUCUCGUUGACGAGGAGGAGACGUAGGCCGCGAAUGAGCCAUUGAUUUUCUAGUGUUAUUUUCUUUUCUUGUUUUCUUUGCUUGAGAUGAGAAGCAUGGCAAACAACUCAUUCUUCAACUAUUGCAUUGUAUCUUAUUCUUUACAAGUAACUUUUUGAUUCCACCGAUUCAAUUCUUUUGUUUUUGGUAUUGGUGAUUUGUUCGGUGGCUUUAGGGUGGUGAUUUUAUCAAUAUGAUUAAUGAUUUUGCUAUGUUUUGUGAUUUUAUUUUGUAAUUUAUGGUUGUUAUGAUUUUGUUGUUGGUUUUCCAA